rnacentral:tRNA from 1 species
GGGCCGGUAGCUCAACGGUAGAGCAACGGACUUUUAAUCCGUUGGUUGUGGGUUCGAAACCCACCCGGCCCACCG